rnacentral:lncRNA from 1 species
UUCUGUUGCGGAUUCUGCUCUUUUGACUUUCAUUCUAUUUUGUUUCAUAAACUAUUUUAUUAAUGUGUGUAUACACGUGUCACACAUCGUUCUUGCAUCAUUUGAUUGCAACGUGUUUCGUAAACUGUUGCUCAGGCCCUUGUUCUUGUAUGAUUCAUACUUCCUUCGUGAUUCCUUUGUCUUUCGUUUCUCAUAUGAAACAAAACUCGCGGUUUUAAUUUUUGAAAACAGGUUUUCUGAUUUCAUUCGCAACUGGCUUUGACAAAAACGGGGUCGUCCUGGGGAUGCGGAUGUUGCAGAUUUGCUUCCACUGGUGCAAAGGGCGUUGCUCCUGACUCAAAAACUGUCGCUCUUCGCUCACGGGGAAUUUGGAAAAGGUCACAUGUCCUUGUAUUGUGUGUCGCCAAUGAUACACCCUCUCCAUAAAUACUCUAAAUAAGAAGUAAAAAAUGACGGGUUUGCUCCUAGAGCUCAAAACUGUCCGUGUCAUCUCUUCACACAACUGUGCCUCCUACCACAUCGCCCUAACUUGACGUCAUGGCAUAGAACUGCCAAUGUCGGUGAGUUUGUACUUCUUCUUCCUACCUCAACCCAUUGUGCAGCCACUCUUAGUUGCUAGUUUCUGUUCACCGGCUCAUGCGAGUUUGUUCAGGUUUAUAAUACUGAACACCCAUCCGAGAAGCAGCUAUUGUCACUCCCACAUCAAGAUAAUGAGUAACCAAUCCUGCAACAUAUCCAGAAUCUUGCUUUCUAGCAACUUUGGUGACCAGGGAUUUGAAUCAUUUAUGUUUGGUAGCAGUAUGUCCAUACCCUCCCACCAUCUGUUUGCAAAUUCCUUGCAAG